CAGCCGUAAACUAAUGCUCGCUAGGUGUCAGGCAUGGCGCGACCGUGUCUGGUGCCGCAGGGAAGCCGUGAAGCGAGCCACCUGGGAAGUACGGCCGCAAGGCUGAACUUAAAGGAAUUGGCGGGGGGAGCACAACAACGGGUGGAGCCUGCGGUUUAAUUGGACUCAACGCCGGACAACUCACCGGGAACGACAGCAAUAUGUAGGCCAGGCUGAAGACCUUGCCUGAAUCGCUGAGAGGUGGUGCAUGGCGUAGACGUCU
rnacentral:rRNA from 1 species